rnacentral:rRNA from 1 species
GCGUUUGACCUCAAAUCAGGUAU